rnacentral:antisense_RNA from 1 species
CACCCAACGGGGCAGGCGCCAGGCGCCGGUCGGGAUUGGAACAGGGCCGACCAUGUGCCCGUCGGGGAAGCACCAGGGUCGAAUGUCGGGGGACAUUCGGCCCUUUUUUU